rnacentral:lncRNA from 1 species
GAAAAGUAAAUCUAAGUAGAUGUUCUCAUGUUUCCCCACUUCACCCUAGUACACUACCUCAGUGUGCUGUGCUGGGGGAGAAUCUGCCUGGACUGCGUACUGGAGAAGUUUAAGGUCUUGGAGCCUACGCUUCACCCCAGAUAGCCCUAGAAAAAGCCACAGGUUCUAUAGCAAAAUAAACUGAUGGUUCCAAUUAUCCUUCCA